rnacentral:miRNA from 1 species
GGUAGAGUUUGACAGGCAAGCA